UUUAAGGGCAACCAUAAGUUUCAACGUCCAAUUUUGAUUGUCCGUCUUGUUUGAAAAUUUUUUAUAAUUAGUAUUUUUGUUAUUAUGAGAUGAUAAAAUAAAAAACAUAAACGUGACUUAUGUUUUUAAUUUUUUUUAAAAAAUUAAAAUAAGACGAACGGUCAAAGUUGAACGCGGAAAAACAUGGUUGCACUUAAA
rfam:Oryza glumipatula chromosome 3, whole genome shotgun sequence.